GGUUAAGCGACUAAGCGUACACGGUGGAUGCCCUGGCAGUCAGAGGCGAUGAAGGACGUGCUAAUCUGCGAAAAGCGUCGGUAAGGUGAUAUGAACCGUUAUAACCGGCGAUGUCCGAAUGGGGAAACCCAGUGCAAUUCGUUGCACUAUCGUUAACUGAAUACAUAGGUUAACGAGGCGAACCGGGGGAACUGAAACAUCUAAGUACCCCGAGGAAAAGAAAUCAACCGAGAUUCCCCCAGUAGCGGCGAGCGAACGGGGAGCAGCCCAGAGUCUGAAUCAGCUUGUGUGUUAGUGGAACGGUCUGGAAAGUCCGACGGUACAGGGUGAUAGUCCCGUACACCAAAAUGCACAGGCUGUGAACUCGAAGAGUAGGGCGGGACACGUGGUAUCCUGUCUGAAUAUGGGGGGACCAUCCUCCAAGGCUAAAUACUCCUGACUGACCGAUAGUGAACCAGUACCGUGAGGGAAAGGCGAAAAGAACCCCGGCGAGGGGAGUGAAAAAGAACCUGAAACCGUGUACGUACAAGCAGUGGGAGCACCUUCGGGUGUGACUGCGUACCUUUUGUAUAAUGGGUCAGCGACUUAUAUUCUGUAGCAAGGUUAACCGUAUAGGGGAGCCGCAGGGAAACCGAGUCUUAACUGGGCGUUAAGUUGCAGGGUAUAGACCCGAAACCCGGUGAUCUAGCCAUGGGCAGGUUGAAGGUUGGGUAACACUAACUGGAGGACCGAACCGACUAAUGUUGAAAAAUUAGCGGAUGACUUGUGGCUGGGGGUGAAAGGCCAAUCAAACCGGGAGAUAGCUGGUUCUCCCCGAAAGCUAUUUAGGUAGCGCCUCGUGAAUUCAUCUUCGGGGGUAGAGCACUGUUUCGGCUAGGGGGUCAUCCCGACUUACCAACCCGAUGCAAACUACGAAUACCGAAGAAUGUUAUCACGGGAGACACACGGCGGGUGCUAACGUCCGUCGUGAAGAGGGAAACAACCCAGACCGCCAGCUAAGGUCCCAAAGUCAUGGUUAAGUGGGAAACGAUGUGGGAAGGCACAGACAGCCAGGAUGUUGGCUUAGAAGCAGCCAUCAUUUAAAGAAAGCGUAAUAGCUCACUGGUCGAGUCGGCCUGCGCGGAAGAUGUAACGGGGCUAAACCAUGCACCGAAGCUGCGGCAGCGACACUAUGUGUUGUUGGGUAGGGGAGCGUUCUGUAAGCCUGCGAAGGUGUGCUGUGAGGCAUGCUGGAGGUAUCAGAAGUGCGAAUGCUGACAUAAGUAACGAUAAAGCGGGUGAAAAGCCCGCUCGCCGGAAGACCAAGGGUUCCUGUCCAACGUUAAUCGGGGCAGGGUGAGUCGACCCCUAAGGCGAGGCCGAAAGGCGUAGUCGAUGGGAAACAGGUUAAUAUUCCUGUACUUGGUGUUACUGCGAAGGGGGGACGGAGAAGGCUAUGUUAGCCGGGCGACGGUUGUCCCGGUUUAAGCAUGUAGGCUGGUUAUCCAGGCAAAUCCGGAUAAUCAAGGCUGAGGUGUGAUGACGAGGCACUACGGUGCUGAAGUAACAAAUGCCCUGCUUCCAGGAAAAGCCUCUAAGCAUCAGGUAACAUCAAAUCGUACCCCAAACCGACACAGGUGGUCAGGUAGAGAAUACCAAGGCGCUUGAGAGAACUCGGGUGAAGGAACUAGGCAAAAUGGUGCCGUAACUUCGGGAGAAGGCACGCUGGUGUGUAGGUGAAGCCCCUGCGGGUGGAGCUGAGACCAGUCGAAGAUACCAGCUGGCUGCAACUGUUUAUUAAAAACACAGCACUGUGCAAACACGAAAGUGGACGUAUACGGUGUGACGCCUGCCCGGUGCCGGAAGGUUAAUUGAUGGGGUUAUCCGUAAGGAGAAGCUCUUGAUCGAAGCCCCGGUAAACGGCGGCCGUAACUAUAACGGUCCUAAGGUAGCGAAAUUCCUUGUCGGGUAAGUUCCGACCUGCACGAAUGGCGUAAUGAUGGCCAGGCUGUCUCCACCCGAGACUCAGUGAAAUUGAACUCGCUGUGAAGAUGCAGUGUACCCGCGGCAAGACGGAAAGACCCCGUGAACCUUUACUAUAGCUUGACACUGAACAUUGAGCCUUGAUGUGUAGGAUAGGUGGGAGGCUUUGAAGCGUGGACGCCAGUCUGCGUGGAGCCAACCUUGAAAUACCACCCUUUAAUGUUUGAUGUUCUAACGUUGGCCCCUUACCGGGGUUGCGGACAGUGUCUGGUGGGUAGUUUGACUGGGGCGGUCUCCUCCCAAAGCGUAACGGAGGAGCACGAAGGUUAGCUAAUCCUGGUCGGACAUCAGGAGGUUAGUGCAAUGGCAUAAGCUAGCUUGACUGCGAGCGUGACGGCGCGAGCAGGUGCGAAAGCAGGUCAUAGUGAUCCGGUGGUUCUGAAUGGAAGGGCCAUCGCUCAACGGAUAAAAGGUACUCCGGGGAUAACAGGCUGAUACCGCCCAAGAGUUCAUAUCGACGGCGGUGUUUGGCACCUCGAUGUCGGCUCAUCACAUCCUGGGGCUGAAGUAGGUCCCAAGGGUAUGGCUGUUCGCCAUUUAAAGUGGUACGCGAGCUGGGUUUAGAACGUCGUGAGACAGUUCGGUCCCUAUCUGCCGUGGGCGCUGGAGAAUUGAGGGGGGCUGCUCCUAGUACGAGAGGACCGGAGUGGACGCAUCACUGGUGUUCGGGUUGUCAUGCCAAUGGCACUGCCCGGUAGCUAAAUGCGGAAGAGAUAAGUGCUGAAAGCAUCUAAGCACGAAACUUGCCCCGAGAUGAGUUCUCCCUGAGACUUUAAGUCUCCUGAAGGAACGUU
rnacentral:rRNA from 1 species